CUGCUGGAGCCAGUUCUGCUUCUCGGCAAGGAGCGAUUUGCUGGUGUAGACAUCCGUGUCCGUGUAAAGGGUGGUGGUCACGUGGCCCAGAUUUAUGCUAUCCGUCAGUCCAUCUCCAAAGCCCUGGUGGCCUAUUACCAGAAAUGUGAGUGAGCAUGGGUCCUUCCCAUGAGGUAGAUGGGUGUGUGGGGAUCAAGUCAAGGACUCUGUGUGAUUAUCUAAAUCCUCGUCCCUGCUCUUCUUGCCAGAUGUGGAUGAGGCUUCCAAGAAGGAGAUCAAAGACAUCCUCAUCCAGUAUGACCGGACCCUGCUGGUAGCUGACCCUCGUCGCUGCGAGUCCAAAAAGUUUGGAGGCCCUGGUGCCCGCGCUCGCUACCAGAAAUCCUACCGAUAAGCCCAUCGUGACUCAAAACUCACUUGUAUAAUAAACAGUUUUUGAGGGAU
rnacentral:lncRNA from 1 species